UAAAGUCAAUCUUUCUUGUUU
rnacentral:piRNA from 1 species